GGGUGUCAUUUUCUGUAUGCAUAAAUUAAACUGUUUUUUUUUUCUUUUCUUUUUUUUUUUUUACAAAACCUUGAUAAUAGCAGCAAUUACAUCUAUAUCACUGCCUCCAUAACAAUAUAUUGAUUGAACAUACAAUGCUUCAAAUAUUCCCAGCAUAUUAUCGGUGUUAACCUUCCUGUAGUAAGUCAACUGGAAGAUCAACUGGAGAGCAUUAGAACUAUGUACAUAACUUUACAAAUUUUACUUUUUCUCUUAAAAAUUUCUAUUUUCUCUAUACAUUUUAUAAAUGCAAUGCGAUUUAUACUUUAAACCAAAUACAGCAUUUGAGGUUAGAUUUGGAAAAAAAAAAUCUGCAAUAUUUAGAAUGCAAAAAUAUCCCAAUACAACAUCCACUAAAACACACCCCAAUGUCUAUGUUUUUCUGUUUUUGUAUGUUUUUCAGUAAAUUGAUUUCAAGUUUUGUGUUAUCUUUUUUUUUUUUCUUCUUCUUAUUUGGUAACUAU